ensembl:lncRNA
UUUCUCUCCAUGUGGAAGAAUAUAUAUGAAUCGCUGGAGGAACAUGUAUUAUUAUGGUGGACCAAAUCUUUCCUGCUUUGGCCGCUGAUCCCUAAAAUCUGCUCCUGUGAACAGCUCUUGCUCACCAGACAGCCUCGUGAUGUGUCAAGGGUAAGUGAACCUGAAACUGCAGAGGAGGUGGCCUUCAAAAGACUCCCAACUUGCAAAAUUAAGGCGAAGAAAGCAUUUGGCAUAGGAAGUUUCAGGUCUGGCCAGAUUCAGGCUUUGCAAAAAUAUCUUGGGACAUUGCACUAAAGCCAGAGCAAAGCGGCCAGGGCCUGGCUCUGGUCAUUAUAGGUUAUUUGCAGCCUGUUUCUUUCCAAAGUGAUUUUCUCCUAUCUGAAAGCUGAGGUCUUCUGACUCAGCCUGAUUCCUGCAGCUGGCGCACACAACUCCCGCCUUCACCAGCUGACAGGCAUUUGGAGACGGCCCUGGAAAGCGGCAGGAAUGUGGAGGCCCCCGUUCCAGUCCCGGCCCCCAGAAGACCCUGGCCGGCUCUCUGCAUGCUCCAGAGGCAUCCAGGGCAGUGCCAAGGGGGCGGCAGGCACGUGGGACGCAGCAAGUCAGAGUUCGCCUCCUCCCCAGGUGGGGCUCAUCCAGGCGAAGUCAUGCCCAUCAGAAGUUUCUGUGGAUCAGACAUGGGCAGGAUGGCUUGACUCUGCUAUACAACAUCUGGGCCUCAAUGGGAAGACUCAAAGGCUGGGGAUUGAAAUAGCAAAUAUCACUCAAAUGUCUGGCAAUUGAUGCAGGCUGUUGAUUAAGACCUUCACAAGGCCUAUGCAUGUUCUUCUAGGCAUGGUGGCUGGAUUCCUGAGAGAGAACCAGGUGGAAGCCAUAUUGCCUCUGUGACUGAACCUCCGAAGUCACUCAGCAUCAUUUCCAUCACAGUUACAAAUGUCCACCCAAGUUCAAGGAGAAGAAACACCGUCCCUCCCAGUUAUGGAUUACAGUAUGCAACCAUGAUGCUUUCUUUCAUGUGUCAGUUGGACUGGUCCACUUUCUUUCUGAGUGUGUCUGUGAGGAUGUUUCCAGAUGAGAUUCAUGUUUGAAUCAAUGGACUCAGAAAAGUAGAUUGCUCUCCUCCGUUUGGGUAGGAUCAUGCAAGCUGCAAUCUACUGGAGGCCUGAAUAGAACAAAAAGAGGAGGAAGGGAGGAUCCAUCCUCUUCCAUCCUGCCUGUUGAGCUGGGACAUCAGUCUCUUCUUGCCCUUGGACUAGAACUCACACCUUCGGCUCCCCUGGUUCCCAGGCCUUCAGACUCAGACUGAAUUUUACCACUGACCUUCCUUGGUCUCCAGCUUGCAGAUGGAAGAUCAUGGGACUUCUCAGCCUCCAAAAUCAUGUGAGCCAGUUUCUCAUAAUACAUCCAUCUAUAUGGAGAAAUUUAUAUAGAGAUUGUAUACAUGUGCAUAAAACUACAUAUACAUGUUGGUUCUGUUUCUCUAAUACAUAUACCCCAACAAAAUUCAUGUGUGAAAGUCUUAAUCCCCAUGCCUCAGCCUGUGACCUUAUUUGGAAAUGGGGUCUUUACAGAGCUAAUCAAGUUAAAAUGAAGUCAUUAAGGUGGGCCCUUUUUCAAACGAGUGGUGUCAUUAUAAAAUGGGGAAAUUUGAAGACAGUUAACUCACACCAGGAGAACACCACAUGAAGAUAAAGAAAUCAGAGCGAUGUUGCUACAUGCCAAGACAUGCCAAAGAGUGCCAGACAACCCGUCAGAGCUGGCAAAGAGGCAGGGAGGAGAUUCUCCUUCACAGACCUCAGAUGGCAACAAGACUGCCAAUCCCUGGAUCUCAGACAUCCAGCCUCCACAACUGAGAGACCAUAGGGUCUGUGGUUCAAGUCACCUGGUUUGUGGUACUGUCAGCCCAUAUCCUCGGAUGCAGAAUGCACAGAUGUGGAGGGCCAAGUCUGGGACUUGAGAAUAUCCUCAAAUUUUGGUGUCAUGGAGGCUCCUAGAAUCAAUCCCCUGCAGAUACCCAAGGGCAACUGUACUUUAUCAGAGCAGAGCUAGAAAACUAACCUCCACAUCAUUAUGGAGGAUCAUCAAUGUCAAAUUGUAGAAAGAGCAUGCAGAAGGGGUAGUUAGGGGUGUGCCCAUCUUUGGAAAUUGCAACCUGCCACAGCCCAACCCCUCACCAACAAAAAUUCACCUCCCUCCCACAUGCAAAAUGUACUGGUCCCCUCCUGCAAACCACCAAACCUCAUCCCAUUACAGCACCAGCUUAAAGUCCAGGAUCUGAUCAUCUAAAUCAGAUUCAGAAGGAACCAAGGCUUCUGGAGUAUAGUCAAGGAGCACAGCUCUUCUGGAUCUGAAGAGUCAUCAAUUAAAGAGACCAGUUAUCUACCCGCCCCCAGGGGCCACAUGCAGUGGGGGAACAGCUCAUGGACAUCUUCUCCUUUCAAAGUCAUCCCCAUUCUCCGAAGAGCCUGAAACCAUCAGCUCUAAAACACCAUCAAAGAUCUCCUUGCUUAAGGGACUUCCCUGGUGGGCCAGUGGUUAAGAAUCUCCCUCCCAAUGCAAGGGAUGUGGGUUCAGUCCCUGAUCGGGGAAACUGAGAUCUCACAUGCUGUAGAGCAACUAAGCUGGUGAGCCGCAACUAGAGAGCCCGUGUGCAGCAACAGAAGGCCUGGUGUGGUGCAUCAAAGAU